rnacentral:rRNA from 1 species
UACGGAGGGUGCGAGCGUUGUCCGGAAUCACUGGGCGUAAAGGGCGCGUAGGCGGCCCGACCAGUCCGCUGUGAAAGUCCAGGGCUCAACCCUGGAAUGCCGGUGGAUACUGUCGGGCUAGAGUCCGGAAGGGGCGAGUGGAAUUCCUGGUGUAGCGGUGAAAUGCGCAGAUAUCAGGAGGAACACCAAUGGCGAAGGCAGUGUCCUGGGGAGUACCUGACGCUCAGGUGCGAAAGCCAGGGGAGCGAACGGG